AGAUCAAACGCAAUAAGGCACACGGUGGAUGCCUUGGCACCAAGAGGCGAUGAAGGGCGCGAUAAGCUGCGAUAAGCUUGGGGGAGCCGCACAUAGGCCGUGAUCCCAAGAUGCCCGAAUGGGGAAACCCGG
rnacentral:rRNA from 2 species